GAGACCAGACCAAGAGGAUACAUGGCACAGUGCUUUUGACCAUCUUGACCAGAACCACAAAACCCAGGAAAUUUCUCAGAAAUGGAUGUUCUCUACUGAUUUCCAAACCUUAGGUAUGUCUUCUUAGGCCUAUCAGAGCUGCUGAGACUGCAUUCUGGGUCUUUUAUCUCAGCUGGAUUAUUCACACCUGUAAGUGUAAAGUACUGGCAGUCAACUUAUAACCAUAAAGUCAGCUUCAUCUGAGAUUUGACCAAUACUUCUCUA
rnacentral:lncRNA from 1 species